rnacentral:tRNA from 1 species
UCCCUGAAGUCUCAUAUGGUAAAGAAUCUACCUGCAGUGUAGGAGACCCAGGUUCAAUUCCUGGGUUGGGAA